rnacentral:rRNA from 1 species
UACGUAGGGCGCAAGCGUUGUCCGGAAUUAUUGGGCGUAAAGAGCUCGUAGGCGGCCUGUUACGUCUGCUGUGAAAUCCCGGGGCUUAACCCCGGGCGUGCAGUGGAUACGGGCAGGCUGGAGGCAGGCAGGGGAGAACGGAAUUCUCGGUGUAGCAGUGAAAUGCGUAGAUAUCGAGAGGAAUACCAAAGGCGAAGGCAGGUCACUGGGCAGUUACUGACACUGAGGCACGAAGGCUAGGGGAGCAAACGGG